UGUCCCUCUAUGUCCUCCUCCUACCUACGUCGUCUCUCAAUCUUAAAAAUAAAAUUUUCUCGCUCGUCGGGCGAGUAGUGUUCUCUGUGUGUUCAUAUAUCUGAAUCAUCCAGUUAGGGUUUUCAAAAAAAAAAAAUCUCUAGGGGAAAAAAUUAGAAGAAAAUGUAGAACGGGAUUGGGUUGCAGACAUCAAGAAUUUCAGGAACAAAUGGUUAUAUACAAACAAACAAUCUGUGUUUUGUAAGACCAAUGACUGGGAAAGUAGAGACAAAAGCAUUUGAAGGUGAUCCAGAAAUUGAUUGAAAACACCAGAUUCAUCUCAAAUUGGUUGUUUUAGAAGAUAAAUUGAUUGAACAAGGUUAUACAUACUGAUGAUGAUGGCAUUUCUCAGAAGCAUGAUGAAGCAUCCUUUGGGGGGAGGAAACAACAACCAAGAUUUCAGGUACUCAGUCAGACCCAUCAAAUUGCUGCUAGAAAGGAGAGACAGAUGGAGAAUUUAGUGACUGAUCUUGGGAUAAAUAAAGUUGAUGAAACUUCUUUACUUUAGGAAGAAAGGAAACUGGACAUUGUGCUGGGAAGCCUGGAAUCUGAUUCUGAAUUAAGUGAAGGAGAGAUUCCAAAUUCCAAAUGAAGACAUGAUUGAGAAAAAUGAGCCUAGCAAACGUUAGAAAGAUGUUUAUAAGAAGGCUGAGAAGUUUAGACACCGUGGAAAGGAAGAUAACAGGAAGAGAGGGUAUAAGGUAAUUCUUCUGAUACAGAUAAUAGUUUAAAAGAUGGAAAAGGUUUGAGGAAGAAACAUUGAAUAAGGUUUGAUGCUGAAAAUUCUGAAACUGUUUAUGAUAAGCGCAAGGAGAAGAUGGAAACAUGGUAGUGAAACAUUGAGGAGAAGUCUCAGCAGAAGAAGACAUGAUCCACAAGAGGAAAACUCGGAUACUGAUAGUGGGAGGAAGCAUGCUAAAGAUUGGUGAAGAAGCAUUAAAUAACAAAAGAGAAGAUACACUAACUGAUGUCAGUGAGAGCAGUGAUAGUGGCAGCAGGAUCACAGAUGCCUCUAGCAGAAGGAACAGUAAUAGUGAUUCUAGCCGUAGUAGUGACGAUGAUCACUCUGGAAGAUCUGGUAUGAAGUGGUUUGUAGACGUUAAGAAAGGAUCCAGUUCUAGGGAGGCCCCACCUGAUAGGUACGAGCAAGGAGGGACAUUUGAGAGGAAAGAUAUGUAAACCGAGAUAUAAGAGGGAAGGAAAAGCCAGAAGAAGCUGGAGGAAGCAAAGAACUGUCAGAGUUAUUCUCAAGAGAUGCCCAUUCCAGAAAAAAAGAGCGAACAUGAAAUUCAUAAGGAGAGCAGGGCAAGAUUUGAUUCAGAUGACUGACCGUCUAAGAAAAAAGACAGUCGAAAAGGGGAAAGACCCUUCGCCUUCUGAUAGGCUGAGGUAUGAGUUGCGGGUGAACGUCUUAAUGAAGAAUGGAGAGGUUCUAUUCACAAAGGAUUUGGACAUGAACACGGAAGAUAUAACCCGGUAAGGGUGAACUUCACUAAGACGUUAUAUCUUAGUGAGUAGCACUUCUCUGUUCUUCAUUAAGACGUUCAUCUGGUGAAGAGGAGUGUGGAGGCGGAAGAUCAAAAUGAAUAGAUGGGACCAGCACUACUCUUGCUCAAGAAGUAAUGAUGAUGAUGGUGGCUCUGGUGGCGCUGGUGGUGGAGGAGCAAUGGGGUUGAAGUUGGCAUCAAUUGCAAGCAAAAAACUGUCAAGCUAAGAGAGACGCAAGAAAACAACUGUCUGCUUAUCGGCCACAGCCACCUGCAAGUAGUGGAGACUUCAUCCAACUGCUCAGAUUGGAAAUUGUGUACCAUUACCUGAAUUACAUACAGGAGCCUAUGCACGUUGGAUGAAUGUAAACCAGGUCAAGGUGCAAGCAAAGCUGGUUCGGGCCGCAGGAAGUUUCGCUGAAGUUGAUUCUUUGACAGAGCUGUUGAAGAAGAGGCAGGAGCUGAACUACUUUCUAGAAUGUUUCGGCUGGGUGUGACUACAAAAAGUGCAGGAAAAAAAAUAAGAUUUACUUUUACUGGUUAUCAUGUCUGAUAAACACACCUUACCACCCAGUGCACUGAAACAAUUUGGAGGAUUUUUAUUUUGUUGUGUUAAUUUAGUGUUCAUGUCAUGGUCAGCAAAAUCUGAAUAUUUCUGGCAAAACUUUUCUUUUUUGUAUUUUUUUUAUAUAUAAAAAUAAGCUUGUGCCC